AGGGUGUCCCUACCUUCCCAACAAAAUGCAGUUUGGAUUUGAAAAAAUAAAAUAACAGUUUCGCAUCGCUUCCAGAAUACUCAGGCUUGCGCUUUGGCGAAUCUCCGGGUCCAUGGUAUGCGCAAAGCUCUUCUUCAACACCACAUUUCAAGAGGCACUUUUGGCUCAGUUUCCAGAGUCUUGCAUGAAACAAUGCACUGCUACAUUGUUUGGUUGUUGCACUACACUUCGAAGGAUGGUGUAGCUACAACAGACUGAAAAUGGAGCCUGCCACUGUGCCAGUGGCUGCCUGAUGAUCCUGCUGUGCCAGCAGAGGGAGAGAAAAAAAUGCCAGCUCUCCAUGAAUUGCCAGCUCUCCUGCUGUGACAGCAGGUCUUGCUUGCUUGCUUGAUUUAAUGUCACCAAUUACCAUAUCUUUGUAAUUAUGAUCUAUGUCUGAUGAGGAUGGUGGAACCUUUAAGGCCUUGAGCAGAGGAUCUCAGUCUUAUAAGGUUAUAAUGCCUUCCAU